rnacentral:misc_RNA from 1 species
GGAAGUAAAAGUGUAACAAGGUUUCCGUAGGUGAACCUGCGGAAGGAUCAUUAAUGAGUUGUUAUGGGGUUCGAUGCUGGCAGCCAGUUUUUGGAUGCAUGUGCUUGCCCUAACAAUCAUCUUCUUCCAAACACCUGUGCACAUUUUUGAGGGAGUCUUGAGUUGGUUGCCGCUCUUGGGUGAUUUUCUCACAUUCCCUUAAAUCAUUAUACGCUAUUAACAAUGUUGAACGUGCUCUGUGCCGCAAGGCCAUUAAUAUAAUACAACUUUUAACAACGGAUCUCUUGGCUCUC